UACGGGGGGAGCAAGCGUUGUUCGGAUUUACUGGGCGUAAAGGGCGCGUAGGCGGCCAGCACAAGUCAGUUGUGAAAUCUCCGAGCUUAACUCGGAAAGGUCAACUGAUACUGUGCGGCUAGAGUGCGGAAGGGGCAACUGGAAUUCUUGGUGUAGCGGUGAAAUGCGUAGAUAUCAGGAGGAACACCAAUGGCGAAGGCAGCACUCUGGGACGUGACUGACGCUGAGACGCGAAAGCGUGGGGAGCAAACAGG
rnacentral:rRNA from 1 species